CCAAAGAAUUGCAAUUUGGGAUGUGUAUGCUAUGGCAGAGCAUGGGUAAAUCCAACAAAUAAGGGAGAGGAAUGUUAUUUUAUCGAGAAAAAGGAGGAAAUUGGGAGGGGUUGUUUUGAACGAAAGUCCAUUGGGGAAAAGUAAGAGUUCAGGGUGGUGAUAGUUUCUCAUUGGCUGAGCUGCUGGGGUAGUCGAUUUCUGUUUGGGACGCACUGUACAAUUCUUCCUGUUGGUGUGUGUAAGU